UACAGAGGUCCCAAGCGUUGUUCGGAUUCACUGGGCGUAAAGGGUGCGUAGGCGGUCGGGUAAGUCUGACGUGAAAUCUUCAAGCUCAACUUGGAAACUGCGUAGGAUACUAUUCGGCUCGAGGAAUGGAGGGGAGACUGGAAUUCUCGGUGUAGCAGUGAAAUGCGUAGAUAUCGUGAGGAAGACCAGUGGCGAAGGCGGAUCUCUGGAGAGUUCCUGACGCUGAGGCACGAAGGCCAGGGGAGCAAACGGG
rnacentral:rRNA from 1 species